GAGGGGGCGGGGCCACGGUGCCCGGCGCUCCCUCAAACUCCGUUGGGGGAGGGGGUGGGGUUAACUCCCCCUCUCCCCAGUUGUUCUCGCGCUCGGCUGGUGACGACAGUCCGUGGCCCUAGUAACGGGUGGCGGGUUAACAAGCCCUCGUCUCCAGAGCAGGGCGCGUCUUUCCACCUCCUUUUCCUGCCCUGUUUUGGGUUUUUUGGGUCAUUUCUCCUCAAUAUUGAUUUAUUUUUCCCUCCACCUCUGGCUUUUUUUCCUGUUUCCCCCGCUUCUGGUUUUUUUGUUUGUUUUUUUUUUUUAUAAGUGUCCCCCCAUUCCCCACAACCCCAUUUCAGGGAUGUAUUCGGUAGCCGUGUUGGUCGGAUUCAAAAGGAAAUGCAAAACUCUAGAACUCUUGGUUCAGAGAAGAUACCUUUUAUUAGACCAAUGAGGAAAUGGCAACAAAAAAACUUCUCUUUUUCUACAAGCUUUUGGGCUCAAACGCCCUUAUUCUUUCGUCUUCCCAGAGCCUGAAAAAGAUAUAUAUUUGCCAUUUCCUUGUUGGUUUAAUAAAAGGUAUCAUGUCUGAACCAAAAGUCUAGAUUUUUGCAUUCCCCCAUUUUAUUUUUUUUGUUAAGGUAUCCUCCUCUUUCGGCCCCCCCCCCCCCCCCCGGGCUUCUUCAGGUGUGCUUCCCCUGUGUGCUGACCAGGCCAAAAUCCCUGUUUUCUUCCCAUUCAUCAUGCCUGCUGUUCACUGGCCAGGCUAAAGUCCUGUCCCAUCCCGUCCUCCACCUCCACUGUUCACUGGCUAGGCCAAAAUCCAGUCAUGAGUUUCCCUGCUGAUGAUUAUUCACAGCCUUAGGGAAGUUUGCUGCCAGAUGCAGACUUUAAUCUAGUCUCCCUAAACAAGAGCACAAAAAGACUUGUAUCCUUUGUUAAGAACAAAGACAAAGCAAGUCCUGCCUAUAGCUAUUGCAAAAUUGCCUGGAUUAGAGACUGGCUGGUUUCCCAUGAUAGGUGUGGGUUAGCAUCACCUGUGCUUAGGAGAUGGGUUUUGGCUUGGGUUUGUGACUGGGUCAGUUGAGCAGCAGCAUUUUUGUGACAGACUCAACUCACCUGCUUUGUCUAAGAAGAAGCUUGUUCAGUUAGGAGAGGGAUCAAUGUCUGUAGUCCUAAAGGCUCAUGUAGGCAGCACAGAACUAGAAAUCUCUGGUGACUUGGGGUCUGAAGUGGGACAAGCUGAGCAACCCUGCUCAGGGGGCUGAAGACAAGAUCCUCAGGUACCUAAACAGAUAGAUACCACUGAUAUCUUCAAAACCGGUACCAAGCUGCAGCCAAAACCUGUAAGCAUGCAAGUGCCCCAGGUACCUAUUUUUCUGCAGCCUGAGUUAUCAUCAAUGGACAUAAAUGCUGAUCUGCACAGGAACUGUUUGGGUCCCUGGCUCAAGUGGGAGUCUUGGAAGAGGGGUUCUUAGAAUAGGCGUUUUCUGGCCUACCUUGUCAGUGGGGCACUAGUCCAUUGGGCGAUUGGGUGGUGGGGAGUUGUCAUCCACAGAGUUCUUGGGGAUAGUGACCUCCUGGGACACGCAGCAGGGGCCUCUCACAUCCCACUGCUUUAACCACCAAGCUAUUGGAUAGUCUGCCUGGAUUUCCUGUUUUGUUUUUCACUUGCGAGUGGGUGGAUUUUAUAGCUAGACUGGGGGAAGUAUGAGAAUCAAUAUAUCCAAGUGUGGGAGACUGAAGUGCCAGAGCAAGAGGACCACCUGUUUAUCAGCCUGCAAGGAGAAACCGAGUAGUAAAUCUGAUUCCAGAUCAAGAAAUACUCUGCCCAUUUGAUUGCCAUUUGAAAUAUUAACUUCUUCAGUCAGUGAAGUGAAUUUCAAAUGUUGCCUGGUCCUCUCAUUGACUUCAGUGGGUGUAGGAUGGAAGCCCAUGUUGGGUAUAUGACAAGAGCAGUGAUAGCUGUUAUCUCCAGCUGUCUCCUAAAUAUAAUUGUUAAUUGAAAUUCCCUUUAAGAGUUGCACUGUAACCCGGCAACAGCUGCAAACUGAUUAGAUUUAAAGCUACUGACAAGGCCAAAUUCAGUUUUCUGAUCUUUCCCUUUACAGGGGAAAACAGCUGGCUUUGAAUGCUGAACCAAUGGCCUACAAUUAUAGAGUUACAGAGGGUGGAAGAAAUAUGACAGACAACCUGAGGAAAAAUCAAGUUUUAAGAACUGAUGAAUCCAAGUGAAGUGUAGCUGUGAAGGAAAUGCAGUCCCUCCAUUCAUGAGAAAUUUCAAAUCUUACCAAUGGCUUCUAUUAUGCUGAAUGCUGCUUAUACAUUCCUUUGCUGAACUGCUUGCUGCCUUAGGCCAUCUAACACCAGGUUUGUCAACAGCAUUUACUUGUCACUUGGUGUAAGAGUGUGAACAAUGUUAACCAACUAUUUUUCCCCAUAGUGGAUUUUUGUUCAAUGUCUAAUCUGUCCUUUCAAGGUUGAAAUAAAUGUGAGACGUGAUGAUGGGCAAACUUCCAGAUAUUUGGUGGUUUAACUAAGUGCCCCAAUAUGAGGAGUUUAUUGUACCUGCUCCCAUAUGUAGAGUAAAACUAACUUGUAAAACCCACUUCAUGCAGACCUAUGUCAUAGUGCACAGUUAACCAACCAUUGGUAACCUCCUUCAAACAACAAAAUUAUAGAAUUAAUGAUAAGACCACAGUUAAGCUUGAUGAGGAUUAUGCAUAGACUAAUAUGAUGUCUGAAAUGGCAUAAGUUAAAGUCAUGUUAAGAACCAUAUGGAGGUCUAAGCUGGCCACCAAGUCUAGACUGACCACAGCGGGGAGAUAUUUGUUUUGGCAGAGUAAAACUCUUGAAUGCACCUUUUUGAUCUAUAAAUAACCCUCAUAUUAUUGCUACAAGCUGGCUGACUUGCUGACCGUGUAUAUGGAUAGAUGGGGCAAGAGAGGAAUAAACAGGAAAUAAACAGAGACAACUGCAAGACAUGAGGAAAUAGUACAAAUAUAUAUGAUGAAUAUGAAUAAGAAUCGACAAGUGAUGUAAGCAUGAAAUCAGCUAGAAUCCAAAUAAGGAAAGGUAGAAUGUAAUUGGAUGACAGCAAACAAAGGGACUGAGAAGUGUAAAAGGAGAGUUUUGUGAACAGUGACUUGGGUACUGGGAACUGAAGACACCACUGCACGUAUGCAGAAGUCCCCUUGCCUGAUGACUGCACCUGGCCAGCAACGUCACUGAGCAAGGCUACUCAUCCCACAUGUAAUGUUUCGUGCUGCUUUGUUUUGUUUAAUCUGUCAAUAAAUCAGUGUAUCCCGUA